ensembl:lncRNA
AAAGCGCGCAGAGCGCAGCGCGGCGCGGCUCCCUGUUACGACACGACCAAGGACACCAACCACGCGCUGCAUAUAUCCUCCUUUUCCCGUGUUUCUCUUAUAGAAAUAGUUCUGGAAGAUGAAGCGCGCCCCCCCACGGACCGUAAGCACCGCGCUCCGCGCCUCUCGGGCCUGGAACCCAAACACGUGGGCCAGUUGAGCUGCUCUGCAAUCCCCCCCCACGUAUCCAAAAGAAGCUCCUCGUGGGGCCCAAGAGCUCCUGGUUGGGAUCCCGCUUGUUGCUGGAGUUGUUGAAAGCAGAUUACAGACGAUAUGGCAACCAGGGCCGAACACCGAGCAUGACUGGAACUGCUGGAGUGAUG